UAGGGGAGUUUACAUCACUUUCAUUUCUGUUAUGUCAAAAACUAUUAAUAUCAAACAAACGUAUGUCAAUAAACACAGUGGUAGAUCAUGCAAUAUAUUUUAGUCGUUAAUUAAUAUUAGUUUUGGUAAUUAUAAUCUAUAAUCUCAAUAAGUUAAAGGAAAUAUUUACUUAAUAAUAUUUAUAUAAUAAUAUAUAUAUUAAUAUAUAUUAUUAGUUUUAAAUACUUAAGACAAAACGAAAAAAUCCAAGACAGUGGAGAUUCUAUCGGUGUUAAAAAUGGCUCUUGAAAAAAAUAAAUUCCACUAUUUGUAUUAAAAUUAGGUAUAUUAUGGAACAAAUCAGAAUUUCGUGUAUACCUACCAGGGAUUCUAAAUCCAAUUUUUUUUUUAAAUAGCUGGGCAGUUUAUAUUAUUAUUUAAAAUAUCAUAGACGAACAUAAUAUUAUAUCUAUUAAAUCAUGCCUGAUGAGAGUCAAUACCUAUAGAGUCUUGAACUAAAAGAGUUAUGAAUGGUUAUAUAAGUUAUAAAUUAAAUGUAUUGUAAAAUUAUAUUAUUUGACUUAAAUUAAAUAAACUAACUAAGUCAUAUUUUUAAGGGUGAGCAUUGAUUAUGUAGUUAAAAUGUUUAAAAAAAGAAAAAGUUAAUUUUUUUUAAAACUAUUUAAAUUUUUUAAUUAACUUCAGAAUAUAAUUAUAGUUGAAUUUUUCAUUUAUUAGCUAUUAACUAUAUUGACUUAGAACAAUCUUGUGUUCACCAAACUUAUCUUGACUUAAAUGUAUUCAUUGACAUGCUCGCCUUUGCAUAUCUUGGCGUUAACUCUACCAUUGGCGGUCCUCAGUCCGUAUGAAAAAAGAAGGAAGGGUGCUUUAACGACAUUAUUAUUUUUUUGUUAUAUUAUCAUUGCUGAAGUUGUAGCCAGUGUUUAUAAUGCACAGGACUAGGACAUGUAGUGUGAAUUGGAAAGUGGAAACAAAUACCUAAUUCAGACUUUUAAGUAAUUAUGGAAAUUGGAUUGAUUAAUCUUUUGACAUUGAAAUACGUUUUAUGAUAAAUAUUACCUAGUAAACAUUUCAGAUUUAUAAGAUGUCAAGUUUAGGUCUAUAUAUCUACAGAAUUCUAUGUGGAAGUCUUAUGUGUCUAUAGACUCUAUAGAAUCUAUUUUAAGCUAGACAAAUUUGCUGAAGUAUAAAAGAAUAAAAGACCUAUGAAUGAUAAAACUACAGUAAAAGACCAAAAACGUGAUAAAAGAAGGAAAUGUAUUAGUCAAUGUUUUAGAGUUUCCUUUAUUUGAUGAUAUGUGUAAAAUCCUUAUUUGUGAACUGAUUUAUGGCGCUAUUUUCAUUAAGAUGUUCAUAAAACUAAGAGCAAAAUCAAACCAAAUAUUGAAGAGCCUGAAAAUAUCAAUCCAUUUAUGCAAUAUUCACAAUCAGGAAACCAUUGGAGUGGUAAAGGAAGGAAAUCUACUAGCCACUAUUUAUGGGAUUCUGAGUUACCUAGUUUUGAUGUUCCAAAAUCUCACUCUUUCUUAAAAUUUUUA